GGAUCCGCUCUUCCGAUCUGCGAUUCCUGCUUCAUGCAGGCGAGUUGCAGCCUGCAAUCCGAACUGAGGACGAGUUUUUG